GGACGUGGGCGCGCUCAUCAGGCUGCGCACUGAGGCUACGGGAGCAUGCGUGUGCGAACGCCACGUCUUUAAAUCCUAGGGUGACGUGAGGGAGACAAGACAGGAGUGGGGCUUGGUGACAGAGGUAGGUCAGGGAGGGCUUCUCUGAGGAGGUGACAUUUCAGCUGAGACCCAGGGGGUAAGAGUCAGUCUUGGGACACACCGGAGAAAAGCGCUGCAAGCAGAGGGCCUGGCAAGUGCCAAGUCCCCGGGGCAGGACAAAGCAUGGUGCCCCAGAGGGACAGCAGAGGCCCCUGUGGGUGGAGCCAGCACAGAGCGGGGUGGGGGUUGGCUGGCUGCUGAGUGAGGUCAGAGAGGGGAGCAGGUGCCUCAUGGUCAGGGAGGGAGCGAGGCUUUAAUUCUACAUGGGACAGGACGUCAUGGAGCAUGCUGUGAUCUGCCUCACCCGACUACUGAGGGGAGAACAGAGCUGGACUGAAGUGCCCACGUCCCCCGUGGGUGAACGAAGGAGAACCCUGAGACCAGAGCGGACAAGCCACUCGCCCCAGAUCAAACCGCAACACGGGGACCUUCGUUCAUUCUGCCAGGACCCAGCAAAGCUCAUCAUUCUCCUCCUUCCCACGUGGGCGGGCUUGAUCGAUUCGCUCCAGGAUGCAAAGCUGCUCGUUUUCCCAGAACGGCAUCCAGUCCGGGAUUGGGUCUGAUUAUUAUGGCCUCUGUCUCUUCUAAUCUAGCAAAAAAGUCAUUUCUGAAACUGUACCACUUGUUGAAGACACUAGACCUGUGGUUCUCGCAGAAUUUGCGACCUUCUGACUUUGCGCUGAUGCUCCUUUGGCUUUCCUGUGUCCUCGUCCCUCUUUAUUUCCCGGGAAACAUAUUUCGGCUAGAAUAAAUCACUACCAUUGAUCUCGUGAACUUCAUCCGUCACUCCUGGAGACACACUGUCUUGAUGAAGGGCAUGGCUGAGUUGAACCACCGUCCGGCCCUAGGAAAACCCAGGAACCUCAAAGCCCCACGGGGCCGAGAGGCCAGCUCUGCAGCCGUGUCCUGGACUCUGGCCUUCUCUGAAGGGGAGCCGGGCAGUCCAGCUCGUGCGUCGGGCACGCAGGUGGCGGGACACCCUCGGCGCCCACAGCGGGUGCGCGAUUCCCCCGGGAUCUCUGCGUGAACCGCAGGCCCGCGCUCGCGCGGCGUCUCCGCCUGGGUCCCGCAGCAUCUGCACCCGCCGUUCCCCUGCUGACCGCUAGAGGGCCGCUCGUGCAUUUUACUCAUCAGCACGUUUGCGCACACAGAACCAGGCACGAAACGCGCAUUUGAAAGUAGCGGAAAACUUUACCAAAAAAUUAUGGAAAAAUAAUAAUAAUAAUAAUAAUAAUGCAAAACGUCAGUGUUGGAGCAAGUUAAAAAAAAUUUUACUUCUUUGAAAAGAUCUAGAAAAGGGGCGACUUUCACCUGCCCGGCUAGCUCAGUCGGUAGAGCAUGGGACUCUUAAUCCCAGGGUCGUGGGUUCGAGCCCCACGUUGGGCGGCGCGGUUCCUUUUGCUUAAGUUCAAUCUCGGGUCCCAUCAACAGUAAUCGUUUA